rnacentral:rRNA from 1 species
AGAACGAACGCUGGCGGCAGGCCUAACACAUGCAAGUCAAACGGGUGUAGCAAUACACUAGUGGCGCACGGGAGAGUAACGCGUGGGAACCUACCUUUUGGUUCGGAAUAACAUCGGGAAACUGGUGCUAAUACCGGAUAAGCCUUUCGAGGGAAAGAUUUAUCGCCGAAAGAUGGGCCCGCGUAGGAUUAGCUAGUUGGUGAGGUAAUGGCUCACCAAGGCUUCGAUCCUUAGCUGGUCUGAGAGGAUGAUCAGCCUCACUGGGACUGAGACACGGCCCAGACUCCUACGGGAGGCAGCAGUGGGGAAUAUUGGACAAUGGGCGAAAGCCUGAUCCAGCCAUGCCGCGUGAAUGAUGAAGGCCUUCGGGUUGUAAAGUUCUUUUGACGGGACGAUGAUGACGGUACCCGUAGAAUAAGCACCGGCUAACUUCGCGCCAGCAGCCGC